UACGUAGGGUGCGAGCGUUGUCCGGAAUUAUUGGGCGUAAAGAGCUUGUAGGCGGUCUGUCGCGUCUGCUGUGAAAAUCCGGGGCUCAACCCCGGACUUGCAGUGGGUACGGGCAGACUAGAGUGUGGUAGGGGAGACUGGAAUUCCUGGUGUAGCGGUGAAAUGCGCAGAUAUCAGGAGGAGCACCGAUGGCGAAGGCAGGUCUCUGGGCCACUACUGACGCUGAGAAGCGAAAGCAUGGGGAGCGAACAGG
rnacentral:rRNA from 1 species